rnacentral:rRNA from 1 species
GACGAACGCUGGCGGCGUGCCUAAUACAUGCAAGUCGAACGCAUUUUCUUUCACCGUAGCUUGCUACACCGAAAGAAAAUGAGUGGCGAACGGGUGAGUAACACGUGGGUAACCUGCCCAUCAGCGGGGGAUAACACUUGGAAACAGGUGCUAAUACCGCAUAAUUCCAUUUACCGCAUGGUAGUUGGGUGAAAGGCGCUUUUGCGUCACUGAUGGAUGGACCCGCGGUGCAUUAGCUAGUUGGUGGGGUAACGGCCUACCAAGGCUGCGAUGCAUAGCCGACCUGCGAGGGUGAUCGGCCACACUGGGACUGAGACACGGCCCAGACUCCUACGGGAGGCAGCAGUAGGGAAUCUUCGGCAAUGGACGCAAGUCUGACCGAGCAACGCCGCGUGAGUGAAGAAGGUUUUCGGAUCGUAAAACUCUGUUGUUAGAGAAGAACAAGGAUGAGAGUGGAAAGUUCAUCCCUUGACGGUAUCUAACCAGAAAGCCACGGCUAACUACGUG